UACGGAGGGUGCAAGCGUUAAUCGGAAUUACUGGGCGUAAAGCGUACGCAGGCGGUCUGUCAAGUCGGAUGUGAAAUCCCCGGGCUCAACCUGGGAACUGCAUUCGAAACUGGCAGGCUAGAGUCUUGUAGAGGGGGGUAGAAUUCCAGGUGUAGCGGUGAAAUGCGUAGAGAUCUGGAGGAAUACCGGUGGCGAAGGCGGCCCCCUGGACAAAGACUGACGCUCAGGUGCGAAAGCGUGGGGAGCAAACAGG
rnacentral:rRNA from 1 species